rnacentral:rRNA from 1 species
GCGAAUGGUGGAUGCCUUGACUGGUAAAGGCGAUGAAGGACGUACUAGACUGCGAUAAGCUACGGGGAGCUGUCAAGAAGCUUUGAUCCGUAGAUUUCCGAAUGGGGCAACCCAAUGUAUAGAGAUAUACAUUACCUAUAUAGGAGCGAACGAGGGGAAUUGAAACAUCUUAGUACCCUCAGGAAAAGAAAUCAAUAGAGAUUGCGUCAGUAGCGGCGAGCGAAAGCGCAAGAGGGCAAACCCAGUGCUUGCACUGGGGGUUGUAGGACUGCAAUGUGCAAGAGCUGAGUUUAGCAGAACAUUCUGGAAAGUAUAGCCAUAGAGGGUGAUAGUCCCGUAUGCGAAAAACAAAGCUUAGCUAGCAGUAUCCUGAGUAGGGCGGGACACGAGAAAUCCUGUCUGAAUCCGGGUCGACCACGAUCCAACCCUAAAUACUAAUACCAGAUCGAUAGUGCACAAGUACCGUGAGGGAAAGGUGAAAAGAACUGAGGUGAUCAGAGUGAAAUAGAACCUGAAACCAU